rnacentral:rRNA from 1 species
CCCUUAGAUGUUCUGGGCUGCACGCGUGCUACGCUGAUAUUGCCAAUAUGUCAUUCUUAUCCGAAAUGGAUUGGGUAAUCAAGUAAUGAAAUUUCAUGCUUGGAAUCGGUAAUUGCAAUUUUAUCGUGAACGAGGAAUUCCUAGUAAGCACUAGUCAUCAGCUAAUGUUGAUUAUGUCCCUGCCCUUUGUACACACCGCCCGUCGCUACUACUGAUUGGGUGUUCAAGUGAGAUGCUUAGACCCUUGUUGCAUGGUUCAUUAUUGUGCUCCGAAAGGAAAAAGUUUCAAGCUUGAGUGUCUAGAGGAAGUAAAAGUCGUAACA